AGGAAGGAAACAAAGCUUAAGGCAGUGAUUGAUAGGUUAUUUCUUGGACACAGCUGAACGUAUACUGUGCGCCUGCAACUUUCCGGUGGUUUCGGACCGGACUUCAGUGAAGCCAGUGAAGUCGGUCGACUUGCAGAACUUCCUUUCAGAGGGGCAUACACAGCACCGCGGCCGUGUGCCUGUGAUCUCCUUCUGGGUUUGAAAAAGAAGAUCCUAGACACCGAGCCAAAUAUGUUUGCAUAAACCGGGAGACUUGUGGCUCUAUUUUGUAACAGCUUGGCGCAGGGCAGCUGGUUUGGAGAUGUCUCUGUUCUUCCCUUGGUGGGGGUGCCGGAAAAAAUGUGCUGCCUGGGCGAUCGAGGUUGGGGCAAAAGCGUUGCAAAGGAAAAGGUGGGAGGACUCUACUUUCACACUUCCCAGAAGAGUUUUACCAUAAGACUAUUUCUGGAUUGUUCUAACGUGAGGAUAUUGGGAACAUUUUGAAAAUACUGGAGGAAAAGCUCUCACUGGGCGAUUUAAAUCCGAUUCCCCUUGUCGGCAAAGCCAGGCGCUGAUAGCAUUAUGGCUGCCAUGAGAGUCAGCAGUAUCCCAGCUUCCAAGGAUGGGUGUAAGGUGGGGGUGAGGAAGAAAAGGAACUUGAAGCUGCCUCCUGUCCCAGAAUCACAAGACAUCUGUUAAGCCCUUACUACCUCAUUCACUCCACUCACAUUAGGUUGACCCACUUGGGCAGCAAGACAAGCAGGCCUGCAAACUUCCUUUUCUUCAUCAGCCACAGAGACAUCC
rnacentral:lncRNA from 1 species